rnacentral:rRNA from 1 species
UACGGAGGGUGCGAACGUUAAUCGGAAUCACUGGGCGUAAAGCGCGCGUAGGCGGUCUGUUAAGUGGGGAUGUGAAAUCCCCCGGGCUUAACCUGGGAAUUGCAUUUCAAACUGGCCGGACUAGAGUACGGUAGAGGGAGGUAGAAUUUCCUGUGUAGCGGUGAAAUGCGUAGAGUAUAGGAAGGAAUACCAGUGGCGAAG